GCUUUUGCAGCACCUGAAGCGAAUAAUCUCCGACCUGUGCAAACUCUACAACCUCCCCCAACAUCCAGAUGUUGAAAUGCUGGACCAGCCUCUGCCGGCAGAACAGAGCACGCAGGAAGAGGUGUCCUCUGAAGAAGAAGAUGAAGAGAUGCCAGAGGACACUGAGGACUUGGACCACUAUGAGAUGAAAGAAGAAGAGCCAGCAGAUGGGAAGAAGACAGAGGAUGAAGGCAUUGGGAAGGAAAACCUGGCCAUUUUAGAGAAAAUAAAAAAGAACCAGAGGCAAGAUUACUUAAAUG